CCCCAUGAAUUCGGUUAUACCUCAUUGGUAUUCUUCCGUAAGCAAUCUCGUGUUCGGAUCCAAAUGAGGUCGAUCAAUCCAAGAACGAAAAUAAUUUGAAAAAGACAUGUUUUUUAUGAAUCAAAUUCGUGUGUAAAGAGAGUAAGAGAGAGGAUGAAGAUAUGGAGUGAAUGAAGAGGAAGAUGGGUGCUUCUAUUUAUAGUUGAAAUCCUGCCGACAGACCAAGGAAAUUCCGACAAAAUUCCGACGCCAACGGUUAGUUCGUCGGAAUUUACUCGAAUUUUUAAAAUCCCCCAACGGCUCUCUAACGGCUAUAAUAUAUCCUCGGAAUUCAUCGUUUUUUUCCGAGAAAUACAAUUUUCCUCGGUAUUCGAUAAGAAUAUUCCGACGGAAUGAUAUUUUCUCGGAAUUCCGUCGGCAUAAUUCGAGGAAAUUCUGAGGAAACCAAAUUUUGUGUUUCCUCGGAAUAUCCUCGGAAAUUUUUCGGGAUAAUCCGAAGAUUUUAUUUUCCGUCGGAAUAUCCGUCAGAAUACCUCUGUUUUCUUGUAGUGAUCUAGCAUAAAUCAUUUCAUGGAUGACGUCAUCCUGGUUGGUUAGAUAUGCUCUUGGAGUGAACCUCUGUUGCAACUAGCUCCUAUGUGGCAGGUGUGGGUAUGGUCCAACCAUGGUUCUGAUGCCCCUAUUAUACCCUCCCCCUUGAAUAUUUUUUUCCACGAGAAUCGAUGUGUUAAAAGUUUACUAAAUACACUCUAGCUGGAAGAACAACUAUGUCAUUGUUGUAUUAAAGAGUCAAUCCUUAAAUUGGAGGUAGAAGAAUUUCUUUGAUACAAGUUAUCUUAUAUAAAAAACUUACAUUAAAAUAUAUUCUUCCUCAUUAUUUAGCAUUAUUAUUAAUUAUAGAGAAAUUUUGUGCUGAUCUUGUCGGCGUUAAUCAAUAUUAAAAAAUUGUGUUUAUCUUGUGUUGAUUUCAAUCUAUAUUUCAGUUUGAUUUCAUUUUUUUUGGAUUUUGGUAUUUCGAUUUAUUAAAACAUAGCUACCAUAUUAAACUAUAUUUAUUUGGUUUGGUUCUGUUUAUAUACUAUCGGUCGGUUUUAUAAAAAAAACCAUAAAUUAUUUUUAAAAAAAAUAUUUUGUGAAUUUCACUUUCUAUGAUUGGAUAUCAGGUUUACUAGAACAUAAAGAUAAAUAUAUUUUUGUACUCUAAAGUUUAAAUAGAAUUUUUUAUGUCUUAUUUUAGUAUUAAAAUAAUGAGUAACUAUAUUUUUAAUAUAUUAGUGUGUUUCUAUCUAGCAACAUCAGAACUGGCUGAUGUAAGUUCAUAUUUGAAAUAGAAAUUAGGGAUUUUGAUGUAAAAUUUGGGGUUUUUUCUUUUUGAGUUGCGAAUCGGUAUUUUUUUACCAGUCUCGUGACAUUGCUGAGCUUGUGAAAGGAAGUAUCGAAUCUAGUAGAGAAAAGCAUCUCAACUUUAAUUUUCUUAUGUGUCGUUUUAUUCCACAUUUCUUCUUUACUUUUAUGAAUAGAUUGGUUCGAAAACCUUUUUUGUCUAUUUGUGUGCAUCUAAAUCUUUGUUUUUGAGGACUUGAGAACCAUGAGAUCUGCUUAGGAAACAUUGUUCUUUCUUAUGGUGAGUUCUUUCGUGCCACUGGAUUUCAACCACAACAGCGCAGCUAAGAUUUUUGUUGAAGUUGAGUUGAGUAAAGGUUUCCCUUCAAGAAUUGCUGCUAAUGAUGAAAAUGGAUUUAUUUCUAUGGUUGAUGUUGAUUAUGCUUGGUUGCCUUCUAAAUGUGAAAUAUGUGGCCAGCUCGGAUACAAGAUUAAACACUGCUUGGAAUCUGUUACUAAGUCUCAUAUAGUUGCCACCGAUGUUUCUGAAAAUCCCUCCAAUGGUAGCACUGUGGUCGUCGAGACCAACAAACUACCGAAAUCUGCCCAACCUGACACUUCUUUAGUUCAAACUUUGGCUGUCACAGUAUCUACCCCAAGUAAUGAAUCAAGUGUGGUCGACAUUGCUAUUCUCGAGAACCAGCUGUGUGGUACUUUAUCAGCAAUCCCAGUGUUCCUGAGUGUGACUGAGAUGAUUUUGCUUAUGACAUUUCUAGUCGAUUGCUUGUGCUUCUGAAACUUUUUAGUUUUUUCUUUUUCGAUUUUUGGAAGUUUAUUAAAGUUUCAGAAUAGCUUUCCAGAAAAUCUGAUACUAACAAAUUUGAAUUUUUUUUUUUUGGCUUGGUUACGCAUGACAGUAAACAGGAUGGGAGCUUCAGUACCUCAUAUGAUUGUUUGGUACUAUUUGUAGCUGAAGAGAAACACCAUUACCUGAGAAUUUGUUUUUCUAAAGACAAAGCUCUGUUACGUUUGUUGUUCAGGGUUGGAAAGGUCCCCGGAAGUUGUUGGAGCUCAAAUCAGAGGCUGCUAAAUUUUGGGAACACAAGGUUUUGAGGACAGCAACGCGAUGGGAGAUUCGAUACAUGUCAUGCUAAGACUAUGUUUUUUUUAACUUUGAUGUUGACUUGGACAAGUAAGAAGUUUAUAAUGAAUGAUGACGACGUUUGUUUCAUUUACUUUGUUAUUAAAUAAAUUUUAAGAAGUCUUGAAGCAAUGCCAGUAAUUCUAUCAAGAAAAUGUUGAAAUGUGUUAUCAUUGUAAAACACAUAUCCUAUCUAGGAUAACUUAUAGAACUUGUAGGAUGGGUUUCCACAAAAUAGAAAUGUGAACUUAUUUAUUCACAAAGAUAAAUAUAUCUUAUCUAGGAUACCAUUUGUGAUAUUCAAGAUGGGUUUCCAAAAAUCGAAUAUGAAAAUGAUAUUACCAAGAUACAAGACCACUACGCCAAUGUGUUAUAUCUCAAAAUGAGUAAGUCUUUAAAAGCAGUAUAAGCAAUUCUCUUGCUGAUUUAUAAACAAAUAUAUAUAUAUAUAUAUAUAUAUAUAUAUAUAUGGUCUGGUGAAUAUCAUGUAACCAUUAAAUAAACAACAUCAAGAAAAUGAUCAAUAAAAAUGUAAAUCAUUAACAAAUGAUUGAAAUGAAAAAGAAUAGAACACAAAUGAAUAAAAGAACUUCAUCAUAUAUAGAACAGGAGAAGCAAAUGUAUUAGUAGUUUGCUUGGUACAACUAGCUGAAUCAGUAAUAACAUGUACGAUUCAAUUUGUUUGGAAGGUUUAGUACAUGAUCAGGAAGGUAUUUCAAACUUUUAGGAUAGCUUUCCAGAAAAUAUGAUAAUAGAAAAUUUGAAAAAAAAAUUGGCUUGGUUACGCACGACAGCAACGAGAUGGGAGAUUCAAUACCUGGCAUGCUAAGACUAUGUUUUUUUAACUUUGAUGUUGACUUGGACAAGUAAGAAAUUUAUAAUGAAUAAUGACGACGUUUGUUUCAUUUACUUUGUUAAUAAAGAAAUUUUAGGAAGUCUUGAAGCAUUGCCAGUAAUUCUAUCAAGAAAAUGUUAAAAUGUGUUAUCAUUGUAAAACACAUAUCCUAUCUAGGAUAACUUAUGGAACUUUUAAGAUGGUUUCCAGAAAAUAGAAAUGUGAACUUAUUUAUUCACAAAGAUAAAUAUAUCUUAUCUAGGAUACAAUUUGUGAUAUUCAGGAUGAGUUUCCAAAAAUUGAAUAUGAAAAAAAAGAUUACCAAGAUACAAGACCCCUAAGCAAAGGUGUUAUAUCUCAAAAUGAGUAAGCUUUUAAAAGCAAUAUAAGCAAUUCUCUUGCUGAUUUAUAAACAUAUAUAUAUAUAUAUAUAUAUAUAUCACAUAACCAUUAAAUAAACAACAUCAAGAAAAUGAUCAAUAAAAAUGUAAAUCAUCAACAGACCAUUGAAAUGAAAAAGAAUAAGACACAAAUGAAAAAGGAACUUCAUCAUAUAACAUGAGAAGCAAAUGUAUUAGUAGUUUACUUGGUACAACUAGCUGAAUCAGUAAUAACAUGCACGAUUCAAUUUGUUUGGAAAGUUUAUUACAUGAUCGGGAAAAGAUUCCUGAAUAAUUUAGUUGAAACAAAACAACAAACCUUAACUAGUCCAUUCUCAACAAACACAAAAAAAAAAUCAACGUUAUUUUGAAAACCUAUUAAAAU